GUAAACGUCACUACUUUCAGCAUAUAAAAAGUAGCGGUCUGCAAGUCGAUUACACAAAAGCUCAUAGAACUUCGAGGACAACGAUUGCUCAAGAUACAAAAUCAACAAAAUGUCGAAAAUAAUUUUAUUAUUAUCAAUUCUCGUAUUGAUUGGUCUCUACGCUGGUACAGAUGCAGGAUGUGAAGGCAAAUGGUGCCAUCCAUCCCAAGAUUAUUACUGUUGUGACAAAUAUGAGUGCAGUUCGUCUUUUUGGCAAGGUACCUGCGUUAAUAGUGCCGCGGCCGAUUCUGUAACUGUAGGAUAAUAAUUAUAACAAUACAGUAAAAAUUGAAAAAUGUAUUUUUCCAAUCAAUAAAACUGUUAAUACAC